GGUCACAUGAGACCCAGAGGGGCUGCACAGAGUUUGCAGCAACCCAGAAAGUCACUGAGCUGAAAAGAAACCUGGAAGAAAGAACCUGCUCCUCAAGGACACAGAGCAAGUGCACCGUAUCUUCAUCAGAAAUUUGCAUGACAACAAUAAAACUGAGACAAGAAAAUCACAAUACAGACAAAGCCUGCACACUGAAGAAGCUGUUUUGAUGGAAAAGAUUUCACUCUGGAAUAAAAACAACCAGCCAACUUCAAAACUGGUUUUGAUCAGUGAAGUUGGUGGAAUCAAAAGGGAAUGUUCCACAGUCUGAUCUUGCAACAGCUGUGCACACCAGCCCAGGCUCCUGCUCCCUGCUGACUUGUCCCACACUGCAUUAGCAGGAAUGCUUGACUUAAUGAAGCUCAAUCUUUUGUAAACUUCUCUAAAUAUUUAUGUUCACACAAAAAACAUCAUCCAGUGACAAAAGUGAGAUGGGUGCUCUUGGUGGCUUGAAGAAAGCACAUGGUCAGGCAGGACAGACUAGAGAAGGGAGGGCAAUAAACUGGAAGGAUAAAAGAGAAAUGGAGAGUGCUUCUCUAUGUUAAUACAAGAAAAACCUAAUUCUGGGUCUGGUUCUAUACUGCAUUACUCACUUAAAGGCUUCCCCCAAAGCUAGCAGAAGGUAUGGACAUAAAACUUAGUAUUAAAUAACUUAGUAAUUAACUUAGUAUUAAAACACAAAAGAGAAUUUUGAUCUCUUUUCCUUUGGGACAUAGGAGAAGAGAGCCUCUCUUCUUGCCCUGUGACUGUGGAUAGCACAGACACAUCUGCUUUGGUGCUUCUGUAGUGCUGGUCCCUGUAAUGCUGGUCUCAGCUCCAAGACUUCUUCAUGCAACCUUGAAGAAAGAGAGGCACUGAUGGCCAGUGGCUGCUUGACAGCAACCACAGAAAACUCUUCUAACUACAAGAAUACUUCCCAACCCAUUGUCUCAUGUCAGAGGAGGAUCAAGAAGUGUAGGGGUAUGGGCUUGGCAGUGGAGUACAAAAAGUCAUUCAAAAUGGCAGGCCUUCCUGGAGAGCAACUCUUCAAUUUACUAUCUUGCCUGUUCCACAGCCUCUCAGCAAACAGUAUGGAAAAAAUGCCUCCUAGAAAAUGGAAAGGGUUAACAGCUUUUGGAGUCUUGUCUGGCUACUCCCCAACUAGUUUCUGGACAAGCAGAGCUAAGGUCACCAAACAAAGAGACCACCUUACUGCCAGAUAUAUUUCACCCACACACAAAAAAAUUUCCUCACCAAAACUUCCUGAAAUAUAGGAGGGGGAAAUUAUGCAAGAAUCAGCUACUUUUACCAACAGAAAAAUGUAUGCUACCAUAUCAUAUGCAAAAAAGCCAUGGUGCUAAUUUUAUAUGAUUAUUGUUUUGGAAAAUCAGCAAGAAAGGAUUCCUCGUUUUAUUCCUUGCCUGGUCAUCUCCUCAGUUGUAGAGGACCAAGACUGGUGUACAGGUAUGGCUGUGAAGGGUAAGCUUCAUUUUCCAUCAAAAAUAUGUGCACUUUUGAUAGGCAAGUUUUACAGUCUUCAGGCUUGCGUGCUUUAGGAGCUGAGGUCAAUGAAGAAAUCAAGGAAAAUGUGGCAGGAGGACAUAAGAAAUAAAGAUGACUUAGAAGACA